GCCUGGACGGUACAUAACAAGCCAAAACCCCCGGAGAUGUCUCUCCGGGGGUUUUGGCUUGUUCGCUU
rnacentral:sRNA from 1 species